UACGUAGGGCGCAAGCGUUGUCCGGAAUUAUUGGGCGUAAAGAGCUCGUAGGCGGUCUGUCGCGUCGGAUGUGAAAGCCCGGGGCUUAACCCCGGGUCUGCAUUCGAUACGGGCAGACUAGAGUGUGGUAGGGGAGAUUGGAAUUCCUGGUGUAGCGGUGAAAUGCGCAGAUAUCGGGAGGAACACCAAUGGCGAAGGCAGCUCGCUGGGACGGUACUGACGCUGAGGCGCGAAAGCGUGGGGAGCGAACAGG
rnacentral:rRNA from 1 species